AACGAACGCUGGCGGCAUGCCUAACACAUGCAAGUCGAACGAAGUCUUCGGACUUAGUGGCGCACGGGUGCGUAACGCGUGGGAAUCUGCCCUUGGGUGCGGAAUAACUUCUCGAAAGGGAUGCUAAUACCGCAUAAUGUCGUAAGACCAAAGAUUUAUCGCCCAAGGAUGAGCCCGCGUAAGAUUAGCUAGUUGGUGGGGUAAAAGCCUACCAAGGCGACGAUCUUUAGCUGGUCUGAGAGGAUGAUCAGCCACACUGGGACUGAGACACGGCCCAGACUCCUACGGGAGGCAGCAGUGGGAAUAUUGGACAAUGGGCGAAAGCCUGAUCCAGCAAUGCCGCGUGAGUGAUGAAGGCCCUAGGGUUGUAAAGCUCUUUUACCAGGGAAGAUGAUGACUGUACCUGGAGAAUAAGCCCCGGGCUAACUUCGUGCCAGCAGCCGCGGUAAU
rnacentral:rRNA from 1 species